AAUAAAGUGCCUGAUUAAAGGAUUAUUAUGAUAUAAUAAAUAAUGUAGAUUUCUACCUUUAUUA
rnacentral:tRNA from 1 species